rnacentral:rRNA from 1 species
CCUACGGGUGGCAGCAGUGAGGAAUAUUGGUCAAUGGACGAGAGUCUGAACCAGCCAAGUAGCGUGAAGGAUGACUGCCCUAUGGGUUGUAAACUUCUUUUAUAUGGGAAUAAAAUGUUCCACGUGUGGGAUUUUGUAUGUACCAUAUGAAUAAGGCUCGGCUAACUCCGUGCCAGCAGCCGCGGUAAUACGGAGGCUCCGAGCGUUAUCCGGAUUUAUUGGGUUUAAAGGGAGCGUAGGUGGAUUGUUAAGUCAGUUGUGAAAGUUUGCGGCUCAACCGUAAAAUUGCAGUUGAAACUGGCAGUCUUGAGUACAGUAGAGGUGGGCGGAAUUCGUGGUGUAGCGGUGAAAUGCUUAGAUAUCACGAAGAACUCCGAUUGCGAAGGCAGUUCACUGGACUGCAACUGACACUGAGGCUCGAAAGUGUGGGUAUCAAACAGGAUUAGAUACCCUUGUAGUC